rnacentral:rRNA from 1 species
AUUGAACGCUGGCGGCAUGCCUUACACAUGCAAGUCGAACGGCAGCACGGGAGCUUGCUCCUGGUGGCGAGUGGCGAACGGGUGAGUAAAGUAUCGGAACAUGCCCUGAAGUGGGGGAUAACGUAGCGAAAGUUACGCUAAUACCGCAUAUUCUGUGAGCAGGAAAGCAGGGGGAUCGCAAGACCUUGCGUCUUUAGGAGUGGCCGAUAUCGGAUUAGCUAGUUGGUGAGGUAAAGGCUCACCAAGGCGACGAUCCGUAGCGGGUCUGAGAGGAUGAUCCGCCACACUGGGACUGAGACACGGCCCAGACUCCUACGGGAGGCAGCAGUGGGGAAUUUUGGACAAUGGGCGCAAGCCUGAUCCAGCCAUGCCGCGUGAGUGAAGAAGGCCUCGGUUGUAAG